GUCGAUUAGCUCAGUUGGUUAGAGCGUGGUGCUAAUAACGCCAAGGUCGCGGGUAAGCUCUCUCUACA